rnacentral:rRNA from 1 species
UACACACGGAUAACAUACCGAAAGGUAUGCUAAUACGGGAUAAUAUAUUUGAGAGGCAUCUCUUAAAUAUCAAAGGUGAGCCAGUACAGGAUGGACCCGCGUCUGAUUAGCUAGUUGGUAAGGUAACGGCUUACCAAGGCGACGAUCAGUAGCCGACCUGAGAGGGUGAUCGGCCACAUUGGAACUGAGACACGGUCCAAACUCCUACGUGAGGCAGCAGUGGGGAAUAUUGCACAAUGGGCGAAAGCCUGAUGCAGCAACGCCGCGUGAGUGAUGAAGGCCUUCGGGUCGUAAAACUCUGUCCUCAAGGAAGAUAAUGACGGUACUUGAGGAGGAAGCCCCGGCUAACUACGUGCCAGCAGCCGCGGUAAUACGUAGGGGGCUAGCGUUAUCCGGAUUUACUGGGCGUAAAGGGUGCGUAGGCGGUCUUUCAAGUCAGGAGUGAAAGGCUACGGCUCAACCGUAGUAAGCUCUUGAAACUGGGAGACUUGAGUGCAGGAGAGGAGAGUGGAAUUCCUAGUGUAGCGGUGAAAUGCGUAGAUAUUAGGAGGAACACCAGUUGCGAAGGCGGCUCUCUGGACUGUAACUGACGCUGAGGCACGAAAGCGUGGGGAGCAAACAGGAUUAGAUACCCUGGUAGUCCACGCUGUAAACGAUGAGUACUAGGUGUCGGGGGUUACCCCCUUCGGUGCCGCAG